UGACAGUCUCUUACUUCCGGGUUUGGUCACAUGGCUCGUUGCGCUAUCCAAUGGGCAGGAUGAAGUCGGAGCCCUUGAGUUAGUAAAUCUGUAGGAGAAGAGAUUCAUCCAGAGGAUGGAUGCUUGCUCCAAAUGAGGUGUGAGGAGCUGAUGGAGACAUAAAGGCUCAGGAUACAGGUUAGAGGUCUGACAGUAGGUGGAACGUCUGCUCUGCCGAGACUCUGACGUUCAUCUCCACCUUGAAACACAGCAUGUGGUUUUCCUCCAGUGUGUACAAUCUGACCUAUGAAUUAAAGACAUCCACAAAGAG